rnacentral:misc_RNA from 1 species
AAAGUCGUAACAAGGUAACCGUAGGUGAACCUGCGGUUGGAUCAUUAACAAUCCAUGAGUGUUGGGUCCUUUGGGAUGCCUUCACUCAAACUGGCUUUCGGGCCUUUAACAUCUUGUGAACUGUUUGGUGCUGGUUAGUGUCUUUUGGCACUGGCUGGGAUCUUUUAACCUUGUCUUGUCAGUCUUAAUAAAGAUUUAAUCUUAACAACUUUUGACAACGGAUCUCUAGGCUCUC